CAGCCGCCGCGGGAAUACAGAGGGUGCGAGCGUUAAUCGGAUUUACUGGGCGUAAAGCGUGCGUAGGCGGCUUUUUAAGUCGGAUGUGAAAUCCCCGAGCUUAACUUGGGAAUUGCAUUCGAUACUGGGAAGCUAGAGUAUGGGAGAGGAUGGUAGAAUUCCAGGUGUAGCGGUGAAAUGCGUAGAGAUCUGGAGGAAUACCGAUGGCGAAGGCAGCCAUCUGGCCUAAUACUGACGCUGAGGUACGAAAGCAUGGGGAGCAAACAGGAUUAGAUACCCCCGUAGUCCCUGUCUCUUAUAC
rnacentral:rRNA from 1 species